AACGAACGCUGGCGGCGUGCCUAACACAUGCAAGUCGCGCGAGAAAAGGGGGGCAACUCCCUGAGUAAAGCGGCGAACGGGUGAGUAACACGUAGGUAACCUACCCUCGAGUCCGGGAUAACCUACCGAAAGGUGGGCUAAUGCUGGAUAUGACCACAGGAGCCUCGGCUCCUGCGGUGCAAGGUGGCCUCUGCUUGCAAGCAACCGCUCAUGGACGGGCCUGCGCGCCAUUAGCUAGUUGGUGAGGUAACGGCCCACCAAGGCGAUGAUGGCUAGCUGGUCUGAGAGGAUGGCCAGCCACACUGGGACUGAAACACGGCCCAGACUCCUACGGGAGGCAGCAGUGGGGGAUAUUGCGCAAUGGGCGAAAGCCUGACGCAGCGACGCCGCGUGGGUGAUGAAGGCCUUCGGGUCGUAAAGCCCUGUCGAGGGGAAAGAAACGGUUCCGACCCAAUACGUCGGGACCCUGACGGUACCCCUAAAGGAAGCACCGGCUAACUCCGUGCCAGCAGCCGCAGUAACAC
rnacentral:rRNA from 1 species